rnacentral:tRNA from 1 species
CGGUUGUAGUAUAGCCUGGUUAGUAUGUGGGGUUUCCAACCCUAUGACCCGGGUUCAACUCCCGGCAACCG